rnacentral:tRNA from 1 species
AGCAUGGCAGAGCUGUCUGAGGCACUGGAUUAAGGCUCCAGUCUCUUCGGGGAGAAGGGGCACUGGUUCAAAUCCUACUACUGCC